AAGCUGGCCACCUGGGAAGUACGGUCGCAAGGCUGAAACUUAAAGGAAUUGGCGGGGGAGUACCACAACCGGUGGAGCCUGCGGUUUAAUUGGAUACAACGCCGGGAAUCUUACCGGAGGGGACAGCAGUAUGAAGGCCACGCUAAAGACCUUGCCAGAUCAGCUGAGAGGAGGUGCAUGGCCGUCGCCAGUUCGUACCGUGAGGCAUCCUGUUUAGUCAGGCAACGAUCGAGACCCGCAGUCUUAUUUGCCAGCAUGCCCUUUGGGGUGUAUGGGUACAAUAAGACGACCGCCAGCGCUAAGCUGGAGGAAGGAGCGGGCUACGGUAGGUCAGCAUGCCCCGAAUCCUCCGGGAUACACGCGGGCUACAAUGGUCAGGACAAAAGGUACCGACCUCGAAAGAGUGAGGUAAUCCACAAACCUGAUCUCAGUCCGGAUCGAAGGCUGCAACUCGCCUUCGUGAAGAUGGAAUCGGUAGUAAUCGUGACUCAAAAUGUCACGGUGAAUAUGUCCCU
rnacentral:rRNA from 1 species